rnacentral:rRNA from 1 species
GAGGAGCUUGCUCUUCUUGGAUGAGUUGCGAACGGGUGAGUAACGCGUAGGUAACCUGCCUUGUAGCGGGGGAUAACUAUUGGAAACGAUAGCUAAUACCGCAUAACAAUGGAUGACACAUGUCAUUUAUUUGAAAGGGGCAAUUGCUCCACUACAAGAUGGACCUGCGUUGUAUUAGCUAGUAGGUGAGGUAAUGGCUCACCUAGGCGACGAUACAUAGCCGACCUGAGAGGGUGAUCGGCCACACUGGGACUGAGACACGGCCCAGACUCCUACGGGAGGCAGCAGUAGGGAAUCUUCGGCAAUGGGGGCAACCCUGACCGAGCAACGCCGCGUGAGUGAAGAAGGUUUUCGGAUCGUAAAGCUCUGUUGUAAGUCAAGAACGGGUGUGAGAGUGGAAAGUUCACACUGUGACGGUAGCUUACCAGAAAGGGACGGCUAACUACGUGCCAGCAGCCGCGGUAAUACGUAGGUCCCGAGCGUUGUCCGGAUUUAUUGGGCGUAAAGCGAGCGCAGGCGGUUUGAUAAGUCUGAAGUUAAAGGCUGUGGCUCAACCAUAGUUCGCUUUGGAAACUGUCAAACUUGAGUGCAGAAGGGGAGAGUGGAAUUCCAUGUGUAGCGGUGAAAUGCGUAGAUAUAUGGAGGAACACCGGUGGCGAAAGCGGCUCUCUGGUCUGUAACUGACGCUGAGGCUCGAAAGCGUGGGGAGCGAACAGGAUUAGAUACCCUGGUAGUCCACGCCGUAAACGAUGAGUGCUAGGUGUUGGAUCCUUUCCGGGAUUCAGUGCCGCAGCUAACGCAUUAAGCACUCCGCCUGGGGAGUACGACCGCAAGGUUGAAACUCAAAGGAAUUGACGGGGGCCCGCACAAGCGGUGGAGCAUGUGGUUUAAUUCGAAGCAACGCGAAGAACCUUACCAGGUCUUGACAUCCCGAUGCUAUUUCUAGAGAUAGAAAGUUACUUCGGUACAUCGGUGACAGGUGGUGCAUGGUUGUCGUCAGCUCGUGUCGUGAGAUGUUGGGUUAAGUCCCGCAACGAGCGCAACCCCUAUUGUUAGUUGCCAUCAUUCAGUUGGGCACUCUAGCGAGACUGCCGGUAAUAAACCGGAGGAAGGUGGGGAUGACGUCAAAUCAUCAUGCCCCUUAUGACCUGGGCUACACACGUGCUACAAUGGUUGGUACAACGAGUUGCGAGUCGGUGACGGCGAGCUAAUCUCUUAAAGCCAAUCUCAGUUCGGAUUGUAGGCUGCAACUCGCCUACAUGAAGUCGGAAUCGCUAGUAAUCGCGGAUCAGCACGCCGCGGUGAAUACGUUCCCGGGCCUUGUACACACCGCCCGUCACACCACGAGAGUUUGUAACACCCGAAGUCGGUGAGGU